AGAACAAGCCGGCAGCCAGGGGCCCACAGGGACACAGGAAGGGGAAAGGGCCUGCUCCUGACUCUUUGGGGGGACCUCUGACUCAAAGCCCUAUGGGAAGUGGGGCAUUCUGGAUGAAUCAGAGCUGCUGCAGCGCAGUCCUGUGGGGCCAAGGAAGCCUGUGUGCUAUGGCCUGAGGGCGCUCUCUCUCUCUCUCUCUCUGUCUGUGUCUCUGGGGGCUGUUGGGCCAUCAGCCCUGGCUCACCUUUGAAGGCUGCAAGCUUUUCCGGCAGGUUCUCUUCAUCACUGUACUUCUGGUCACAGAGGAACUCCUACAGAGGACACUAAGCUCCCGGGAUGUGAGAAGCUGUGCGCUCCAGAGACUGCUGCCCAGACUGUCAUUCACUUCUGAGGUAUGUGUCCUCAGCAAAUGACCUCUCUGUGCUCCUCGGACCAUUACCUUGCCCACCCGGUGAGCAUCAAGGCUGAACUACGAGGUGAGUCUGCAAAGAUAACAAGGGAGGCAGGAGUGGCUUUGGUGCCAUUACCUCUGCUCUGGCCAGAAACUGACUGACUGACUGACUGAGCCAGCCAUCUUCAGCCUCCGACAGGUGAGGAUUAAUCCCGAG
rnacentral:lncRNA from 1 species